rnacentral:rRNA from 1 species
UACGUAGGGGGCGAGCGUUGUCCGGAUUUAUUGGGCGUAAAGAGCGUGUAGGCGGCCAGGUAGGUCUGCUGUGAAAACUCGAGGCUCAACCUCGAGACGUCGGCGGAAACCAUCUGGCUAGAGUCCGGAAGAGGAGAGUGGAAUUCCUGGUGUAGCGGUGGAAUGCGCAGAUAUCGGGAGGAACACCAGCGGCGAAGGCGGCACUCUGGGCUG